AUUGAACGCUGGCGGCAUGCCUUACACAUGCAAGUCGAACGGCAGCACGGGAGCAAUCCUGGUGGCGAGUGGCGAACGAGUGAGUAAUAUAUCGGAACGUGCCCAGUCGUGGGGGAUAACGUAGCGAAAGCUACGCUAAUACCGCAUACGAUCUAUGGAUGAAAGCGGGGGAUCGCAAGACCUCGCGCGAUUGGAGCGGCCGAUAUCAGAUUAGGUAGUUGGUGAGGUAAAGGCUCACCAAGCCGACGAUCUGUAGCUGGUCUGAGAGGACGACCAGCCACACUGGGACUGAGACACGGCCCAGACUCCUACGGGAGGCAGCAGUGGGGAAUUUUGGACAAUGGGCGCAAGCCUGAUCCAGCAAUGCCGCGUGCAGGAUGAAGGCCUU
rnacentral:rRNA from 1 species